ensembl:lncRNA
GCAAACUCCAAAACACUUGCAAACCCAAAACACAUGCAAACUCCAAAACACUUGCAAAAUCCAAAACACUUGCAAACUCAAAACACUUGCAAAAUCCAAAACACUUGCAAAAUCCAAAACACAUGCAAACUCCAAAACACUUGCAAAAUCCAAAACACUUGCAAACUCCAAAACACUUGCAAAAUCCAAAACACUUGCAAAAUCCAAAACACAUGCAAACUCCAAAACACUUGCAAAAUCCAAAACACUUGCAAACUCCAAAACACUUGCAAAAUCCAAAACACUUGCAAAAUUCAAAACACUUGCAAACUCCAAAACACAUGCAAACCCCAAAACACUUGCAAAUUUCAAAACACAACGGAAGUGCUCCAGGACGCUAGGGGCAGUGUUGAGCUUUCGUUACCUAGUAACUACACAAGCCAGGAAGUACCAAUGACCGGAUUUGGGCUCUAUCCCAAUUCAGGGUCUGCAGCCUUAAAGGCCACAUUUUAAGGACGAUUAUGUCACAGCGACACGACGAAGGCUGUCCCAAUUCAAAGGCUGCUCGAAAUGCGGCCCUCAAAUGCGUCCUUAAUUUCCCUGAAUUUUAAGGAUGGGUCGGUGUAGCCUUCAUGGCCCAACAUAUCCCAGAUUUCAUAGCGCGGCCGUGGUGUGGAUAAUUUUGCCGAAAAAAACGGCGGAAGCGGAGCCGCCAAAGAGUAAACUUUCAGAACUUAUCACACAUUUGAUUUCCAUGUGUGACAACUGCAAGUGUCCAGAGUGAGGACAGACUGAGGGACCCACUGCUGCACAUCAUCUGUGAGGCUUUGCACCCCUGAUGAUCCACCAGGACAAACUCAGCAGUGUGUGAGGAAGAGGAGGAGGAAGAGCCAGCAGCAGCUGACAGAUGGAGAGAAUAGACAGACUGUUCCCUGUUUGUGAAGGACUGCUAGGAAAGUUUAACAUAACUAAUUGUCUGUCCUGAAUCAGUCUUAUUAGGUAAUGUUCAAAUAAUGUUAUCAUCCCAGUGUUUUCAGUGUGGGAGAAAGUACUCAGGGCCUUCAAGUUACACACUAUGAAAGGCAGCAACAAGUUUAAUAUUCAGAAACCUAAAGUAUGUAUCAGCAGCAGAAUGGAGCUGAAAAUAAAUGUUUGUUUCAGUUCUAUGAAGCUUUGAGUAUUUUGGAUUAGUAGCACUGCUGUGUUUGUUGCAUCAUAUUGCUGUAACUGUUUAUAUGCUUUAUAUAUUCUGAGGUAAGUUGAUCUAUAGUGUUACAUCAUAUUCUAUAAGGAUGUUAUGUGUUUGUAGACUUUCUGCCCAGUUUGACCCAUUUAGCAGAAGUCAGCCUGUUUAAGGCUCUGAUAUCUAUUCUGUAUGACUUAAAGCAGUUAUGACAUGCUCUGAUUUUCUCACCCAAUAAAGGAAUAUUUAAU